GAGUUUGAUCCUGGCUCAGGAUGAACGCUGGCGGCGUGCCUAAUACAUGCAAGUCGAGCGAACGGACGAGAAGCUUGCUUCUCUGAUGUUAGCGGCGGACGGGUGAGUAACACGUGGAUAACCUACCUAUAAGACUGGGAUAACUUCGGGAAACCGGAGCUAAUACCGGAUAAUAUUUUGAACCGCAUGGUUCAAAAGUGAAAGACGGUCUUGCUGUCACUUAUAGAUGGAUCCGCGCUGCAUUAGCUAGUUGGUAAGGUAACGGCUUACCAAGGCAACGAUGCAUAGCCGACCUGAGAGGGUGAUCGGCCACACUGGAACUGAGACACGGUCCAGACUCCUACGGGAGGCAGCAGUAGGGAAUCUUCCGCAAUGGGCGAAAGCCUGACGGAGCAACGCCGCGUGAGUGAUGAAGGUCUUCGGAUCGUAAAACUCUGUUAUUAGGGAAGAACAUAUGUGUAAGUAACUGUGCACAUCUUGACGGUACCUAAUCAGAAAGCCACGGCUAACUACGUGCCAGCAGCCGCGGUAAUACGUAGGUGGCAAGCGUUAUCCGGAAUUAUUGGGCGUAAAGCGCGCGUAGGCGGUUUUUUAAGUCUGAUGUGAAAGCCCACGGCUCAACCGUGGAGGGUCAUUGGAAACUGGAAAACUUGAGUGCAGAAGAGGAAAGUGGAAUUCCAUGUGUAGCGGUGAAAUGCGCAGAGAUAUGGAGGAACACCAGUGGCGAAGGCGACUUUCUGGUCUGUAACUGACGCUGAUGUGCGAAAGCGUGGGGAUCAAACAGGAUUAGAUACCCUGGUAGUCCACGCCGUAAACGAUGAGUGCUAAGUGUUAGGGGGUUUCCGCCCCUUAGUGCUGCAGCUAACGCAUUAAGCACUCCGCCUGGGGAGUACGACCGCAAGGUUGAAACUCAAAGGAAUUGACGGGGACCCGCACAAGCGGUGGAGCAUGUGGUUUAAUUCGAAGCAACGCGAAGAACCUUACCAAAUCUUGACAUCCUUUGACAACUCUAGAGAUAGAGCCUUCCCCUUCGGGGGACAAAGUGACAGGUGGUGCAUGGUUGUCGUCAGCUCGUGUCGUGAGAUGUUGGGUUAAGUCCCGCAACGAGCGCAACCCUUAAGCUUAGUUGCCAUCAUUAAGUUGGGCACUCUAAGUUGACUGCCGGUGACAAACCGGAGGAAGGUGGGGAUGACGGUCAAAUCAUCAUGCCCCUUAUGAUUUGGGCUACACACGUGCUACAAUGGACAAUACAAAGGGCAGCGAAACCGCGAGGUCAAGCAAAUCCCAUAAAGUUGUUCUCAGUUCGGAUUGUAGUCUGCAACUCGACUACAUGAAGCUGGAAUCGCUAGUAAUCGUAGAUCAGCAUGCUACGGUGAAUACGUUCCCGGGUCUUGUACACACCGCCCGUCACACCACGAGAGUUUGUAACACCCGAAGCCGGUGGAGUAACCUUUUAGGAGCUAGCCGUCGAAGGUGGGACAAAUGAUUGGGGUGAAGUCGUA
rnacentral:rRNA from 1 species